UACAGAGGGUGCGAGCGUUAAUCGGAAUUACUGGGCGUAAAGUGUGCGCAGGCGGCCGCGCAAGUCGAGUGUGAAAGCCCCCGGGCUUAACUUGGGAAUUGCGCUCGAAACUACGUGGCUGGAGUGUGGCAGAGGAAGGUGGAAUUCCACGUGUAGCGGUGAAAUGCGUAGAGAUGUGGAGGAACACCAAUGGCGAAGGCAGCCUUCUGGGCCAACACUGACGCUCAUGCACGAAAGCGUGGGGAGCAAACAGG
rnacentral:rRNA from 1 species